rnacentral:rRNA from 1 species
AUGGGUGUGGUGGGUCAACAGGAGGUGGAGGUGGUGGAGUCGUGCAUGGUGAAGCCGAGCGAUGAGACGCCUAGCCAUGGACUCUGGCUCUCCCAACUCGACCUCAGAAUGGUCAACAGAGGCCACACGCCGAACGUAUACUUCUACAGUCCCGACUCCGGCGACGUCGACAACUUCUUCGACGUGGCCAGGCUGAAGGCGGCGAUGGCCAAGGUUCUUGUGCCCUUCUACCCUCUCGCCGGCCGUCUGGGCGCGGACGGCGACGGCCGGCCAGAGAUCAACUGCGCCUGCCAGGGCGUCCUCUUCGUCGUCGCUCGGUCGAACCUCACCGUCGACGGCUUCGUGGACUUCCGCCGUCGCCGCCUCGCCGGAACUAAGGAGGCUCUUUGUUCCCCGCGUAGAGGACUCGCCGUCCAUCAUGUGCGCCAUCCAGGUGACUUUCAUGGGAUGCGGCGGGGUGGCCUUGGGGACGGCGCUGCACCACGUAGCCAUCGACGCCGUAAGCGCAGUUCACUUCUUCCAGACGUGGUCCGGCUUCUGCAAGGACGGCGACGCGGCGGCGGCGGUGCUGGAGCUCCCAUGCCACGACCGCACCCUUCUCCGCGCGCUCCCCACCCGUCGUCCACCCCGACGCCCUCACCGUGUUCUCCUGUCCGAAGCUGA